UACGUAGGGGGCAAGCGUUGUCCGGAAUCGUUGGGCGUAAAGCGCGUGUAGGCGGCUUCGUAAGUCCGUUGUGAAAGUCCAGGGCUCAACCCUGGAAUGCCGAUGGAUACUGCGGAGCUAGAGUCCGGAAGAGGCGAGUGGAAUUCCUGGUGUAGCGGUGAAAUGCGCAGAUAUCAGGAGGAACACCAAUGGCGAAGGCAGCUCGCUGGGACGGUACUGACGCUGAGACGCGAAAGCGUGGGGAGCAAACAGG
rnacentral:rRNA from 1 species